AGAGCGGCCGCUACCAGAUCUCCGCCCGUCGCUCCUACCGAUUGGGUGUGCUGGUGAAGAGUUCGGAUUGGGCUAGGGUGCGCAAGUGCCCAUGACCGAAAAGUUCUUUGAACCCUCUCGCCUAGAGGAAGGAGAAGUCGUAACAAGGUUUCCGUAGGUGAACCUGCGGAAGGAUCAUUUAAUUCGAUCAAAACAACACGCCAAACAUGGUAACCAUUGCUAGCUGUCUCAUCCCGGGUGCGGGAGGGGGGCUGUCGUUGUUUGGCCGCUCGCGGUCGCCAGCGCGGUUCCUGCCCGUGCCUCGGGGUGGCAACAAAAACCGCCAAAUCAAAUCGUUUACACGAAAUCAGAAGUCGCGGAAUAAGCGGGGCUCAGCCCCCUGCCGUGCAAACUAACCAAGAAACUACCCCUAACAACGGAUGUCUUGGCUCUCGCAACGAUGAAGAACGCAGCGAAAUGCGAUAUGUAGUGUGAAUUGCAGAAUUACGUGAAUCAUCGAAUCUUUGAACGCAUAUGGCACCCGAGACCUCGGUCGAGGGUAUGUCUGCCUCAGAGUCGACGUUAAACAUCUCCCCGGGACGUUAAACAACUGCCCGGGGUAGGAACUGGCCUUCCCACCGCAUCUCUGAUGGUUGGUGGGUCUACCGAAGGACAGAGACGGAGGACCGGUGGUGCCAUAAAAAGCACCCGCCGGGGAAAACCACGAUUUGGUGGGAGGAAAGGUCCGCAGCCCUUCGGGGACUAGGGCCACGUCCGCAUCUCUCGUCGUGUGAGUAUCCGGCACCUCUCGCGCUUUAAUCUUUUUACUUUCGACCUGAGAUCAGGCAAGAUCACCCGCUGAACUUAAGCAUAUAUCAUCCCCCUUCGCAGCU
rnacentral:rRNA from 1 species